rnacentral:lncRNA from 10 species
GUUUUUUUUUUCUUUUUAACCCUUGCCUUGCCUGUUACUUUUCUUGGAGUAAAUACAUACAUAUUUGUUUUUAAAUUUCUGCCUCCGUACCAUUAUGACUCAUUUACAAUGGAGGAAAUGAAAGCGCAGGGAGUUAAGUUACUCGCCCAAGAUUUCACGGCAGUCAGGUGGGAAACCAGAUGGACACAGGUCAUCCAACUCCACAACCUUUGCUCUUAAAAUGUUAUCAUAUGUAGGACUCAUACAAAUACCAAACACGAAGUGUGUGGGCUGCCCUGAGGGGUUCAUAUGGAAGAAACAACCAGUCACAGAGCGUGAGGAAGGAAAAGGUCCAUUUGCGGCAGGGUAUCAGCGUGCAGAAUGGGGGCAGGACGCAGGAGGUUGGCCCUGAUGAACAGACUGGUACCACUGAAGCCGAGCUCUGGAGGGGUCAGACUGCAGAGGGCCUGGAACACUAUCCUGAAUAGUCAGAUUUCACGCACGCUGGGAGCCACGGAUGCCAAAAUGGCAAGGUGAUUUCAGAGGUGACUUCAGGAAAACGAAGCUGACUGUGGUGCAUGAGAUGAUGUGGAACGGGGCAAACCGCCCCUCCGUGCUUUGUCAAAGGUGACCAUGGUGGGAACCAAGGGCAAAGUCUGGCGAUGGGAGAGUUGACUGAAAAUGCGGCCACAGCAGGGUCCUCUGGGCUUGGAGGGCUGAGCGAUGGACAGGAAGGGGGAGCUGGUUCCGGGGGAACAGACCCUAAGUCCAGGUGGAGACAUGUCUGGACUGAGAAGACUCAUGGCCAUCCCUGUCAGAAGAUCCAACGGGCAGCCAGACAGCAGAGUCUGGACCACAGGUGUGGAUCUGGGAGGCCGGCAACCCUGAACCAGGGAACUGGCCAGCGGAAGCGAGGCUGCCACUUCCCAGGUGCCACCUGUACCAGAUCAGCCUGUCCGGGGCAAUUUCAGCAGGGAUGGUGGCUCAGAUACAAAAUCUACCACCUCACCUACAACAAUAAGGACACUGUCUUCUACUGCACUUUAUUUUAUUGAUUUAUUUAUUUUUGGAGACGAAGUCUCAAUCUGUCACCCAGGCUGGAGUGCA